UACGUAGGGGGCAAGCGUUGUCCGGAUUUAUUGGGCGUAAAGCGCGUGUAGGCGGUCCGGUAAGUCCGCUGUGAAAGUCGGGGGCUCAACCCUCGGAUGCCGGUGGAUACUGUCGGGCUUGAGUACGGAAGAGGCGAGUGGAAUUCCUGGUGUAGCGGUGAAAUGCGCAGAUAUCAGGAGGAACACCAAUUGCGAAGGCAGCUCGCUGGGACGUUACUGACGCUGAGACGCGAAGCGUGGGGAGCAACAGG
rnacentral:rRNA from 1 species